rnacentral:rRNA from 1 species
ACCUACGGGGGGCAGCAGUGGGGAAUAUUGCACAAUGGGGGAAACCCUGAUGCAGCGACGCCGCGUGAAGGAAGAAGUAUUUUGGUAUGUAAACUUCUAUCAGCAGGGAAGAAAAUGACGGUACCUGACUAAGAAGCCCCGGCUAACUACGUGCCAGCAGCCGCGGUAAUACGUAGGGGGCAAGCGUUAUCCGGAUUUACUGGGUGUAAAGGGAGCGUAGGCGGUUUAGCAAGUCAGAAGUGAAAGCCCGGGGCUCAACUCCGGACCGCUUUUGAAA